rnacentral:rRNA from 1 species
GUGGCGAACGGGUGAGUAACACGUGAGUAACCUGCCCUUAACUCUGGGAUAAGCCUGGGAAACUGGGUCUAAUACCGGAUAUGACUCCUCAUCGCAUGGUGGGGGGUGGAAAGCUUUAUUGUGGUUUUGGAUGGACUCGCGGCCUAUCAGCUUGUUGGUGAGGUAAUGGCUCACCAAGGCGACGACGGGUAGCCGGCCUGAGAGGGUGACCGGCCACACUGGGACUGAGACACGGCCCAGACUCCUACGGGAGGCAGCAGUGGGGAAUAUUGCACAAUGGGCGAAAGCCUGAUGCAGCGACGCCGCGUGAGGGAUGACGGCCUUCGGGUUGUAAACCUCUUUCAGUAGGGAAGAAGCGAAAGUGACGGUACCUGCAGAAGAAGCGCCGGCUAACUACGUGCCAGCAGCCGCGGUAAUACGUAGGGCGCAAGCGUUAUCCGGAAUUAUUGGGCGUAAAGAGCUCGUAGGCGGUUUGUCGCGUCUGCCGUGAAAGUCCGGGGCUCAACUCCGGAUCUGCGGUGGGUACGGGCAGACUAGAGUGAUGUAGGGGAGACUGGAAUUCCUGGUGUAGCGGUGAAAUGCGCAGAUAUCAGGAGGAACACCGAUGGCGAAGGCAGGUCUCUGGGCAUUAACUGACGCUGAGGAGCGAAAGCAUGGGGAGCGAACAGGAUUAGAUACCCUGGUAGUCCAUGCCGUAAACGUUGGGCACUAGGUGUGGGGGACAUUCCACGUUUUCCGCGCCGUAGCUAACGCAUUAAGUGCCCCGCCUGGGGAGUACGGCCGCAAGGCUAAAACUCAAAGGAAUUGACGGGGGCCCGCACAAGCGGCGGAGCAUGCGGAUUAAUUCGAUGCAACGCGAAGAACCUUACCAAGGCUUGACAUGAACCGGAAAUACCUGGAAACAGGUGCCCCGCUUGCGGUCGGUUUACAGGUGGUGCAUGGUUGUCGUCAGCUCGUGUCGUGAGAUGUUGGGUUAAGUCCCGCAACGAGCGCAACCCUCGUUCUAUGUUGCCAGCGCGUUAUGGCGGGGACUCAUAGGAGACUGCCGGGGUCAACUCGGAGGAAGGUGGGGACGACGUCAAAUCAUCAUGCCCCUUAUGUCUUGGGCUUCACGCAUGCUACAAUGGCCGGUACAAAGGGUUGCGAUACUGUGAGGUGGAGCUAAUCCCAAAAAGCCGGUCUCAGUUCGGAUUGGGGUCUGCAACUCGACCCCAUGAAGUCGGAGUCGCUAGUAAUCGCAGAUCAGCAACGCUGCGGUGAAUACGUUCCCGGGCCUUGUACACACCGCCCGUCAAGUCACGAAA